rnacentral:misc_RNA from 1 species
UCUCCGUAGGUGAACCUGCGGAGGGAUCAUUACUGAGUGAGGGUUUAACCGCCCGACCUCCAACCCUUUGUGAAUCGUACUCGUUGCUUCGGGGGCGACCCUGCCGUUCGCGGCGUGGGGCCCCCGGAGCCCAUCAAACCCUGCAUCUUAGCGUCGGAGUCUUAAUGAAUUUAAACAAAACUUUUAACAACGGAUCUCUUGGUUCUGGCAUCGAUGAAGAACGCAGC